GGGCCCGUAGCUCAGCUAGGAUAGAGCGCUGGCCUUCUAAGCCAGAAGCCGCGGGUUCGAGUCCCGCCGGGCCCG
rnacentral:tRNA from 1 species